UGGUCUUAUUGGUACUAUAGUAUUGCCAGUCUAAUCUAUUGGAUGGUCUUAUUGGUACUAUAGUAUUGCCAGUCUAAUCUAUUGGAUGGUCUUAUUGGUACUAUAGUAUUGCCAGUCUAAUCUAUUGGAUGGUCUUAUAGGUACUAUAGUAUUGCCAGUCUAAUCUAUUGGAUGGUCUUAUAGGUACUAUAGUAUUGCCAGUCUAAUCUAUUGGAUGGUCUUAUAGGUACUAUAGUAUUGCCAGUCUAAUCUAUUGGAUGGUCUUACAGGUACUAUAGUAUUGCCAGUCUAAUCUAUUGGAUGGUCUUAUUGGUACUAUAGUAUUGCCAGUCUAAUCUAUUGGAUGGUCUUAUAGGUACUAUAGUAUUGCCAGUCUAAUCUAUUGGAUGGUCUUAUUGGUACUAUAGUAUUGCCAGUCUAAUCUAUUGGAUGGUCUUAUUGGUACUAUAGUAUUGCCAGUCUAAUCUAUUGGAUGGUCUUAUAGGUACUAUAGUAUUGCCAGUCUAAUCUAUUGGAUGGUCUUAUAGGUACUAUAGUAUUGCCAGUCUAAUCUAUUGGAUGGUCUUAUUGGUACUAUAGUAUUGCCAGUCUAAUCUAUUGGAUGGUCUUAUAGGUACUAUAGUAUUGCCAGCCUAAUCUAUUGGAUGGUCUUAUUGGUACUAUAGUAUUGCCAGUCUAAUCUAUUGGAUGGUCUUAUUGGUACUAUAGUAU